rnacentral:rRNA from 1 species
UACGAAGGGGGCUAGCGUUGCUCGGAAUCACUGGGCGUAAAGCGCACGUAGGCGGAUUGCUAAGUCAGGGGUGAAAUCCUGGAGCUCAACUCCAGAACUGCCUUUGAUACUGGCGACCUUGAGUCCGGGAGAGGCGAGUGGAACUGCGAGUGUAGAGGUGAAAUUCGUAGAUAUUCGCAAGAACACCAGUGGCGAAGGCGGCUCACUGGCCCGGUACUGACGCUGAGGUGCGAAAGCGUGGGGAGCAAACAGG